rnacentral:rRNA from 1 species
UACGUAGGGUGCAAGCGUUGUCCGGAAUUACUGGGCGUAAAGCGCACGUAGGCGGAUUUGUAAGUCAGGGGUGAAAGUCCCGGGGCUCAACCUGGGAACUGCAUUUGUGACUGCAUGGCUAGAGUUUGGCAGAGGGGGUAGAAUUCCACGGUGUAGCAGUGAAAUGCGUAGAUAUGUGGAGGAACACCGAUGGCGAAGGCAGCCCCCUGGGUCAAGACUGACGCUCG